rnacentral:lncRNA from 12 species
CCGGUCAAUAAAUACUACUGAGAUGAUAAUAUAAUGUGAUUGGGUUCUUGCCUCAUACCAUGCAGAUAAUUCAGUUACAGGAUUCUCAGAUACUGUGCUGAGGUAAUAUCUCCACAAAAGUCAUUUCAGGGAAAGUGGCCAGACCUUCCUCUCCUUGACUUGCUCUCCGACGCCUCAACUUAUAACACUACAGAUUCACUUCUGUGAUUUAAGUUUCAUCCCUUGUUGAAAUGCAACUUCCCCUG